rnacentral:rRNA from 1 species
GACGAACGCUGGCGGCGUGCCUAAUACAUGCAAGUCGAGCGCAGGAAAUCGACGGAACCCUUCGGGGGGAAGUCGACGGAAUGAGCGGCGGACGGGUGAGUAACACGUAAAGAACCUGCCCUCAGGUCUGGGAUAACCACGAGAAAUCGGGGCUAAUACCGGAUGGGUCAUCGGACCGCAUGGUCCGAGGAUGAAAGGCGCUCCGGCGUCGCCUGGGGAUGGCUUUGCGGUGCAUUAGCUAGUUGGUGGGGUAAUGGCCCACCAAGGCGACGAUGCAUGGCCGGCCUGAGAGGGUGAUCGGCCACACUGGGACUGAGACACGGCCCAGAGUCCUACGGGAGGCAGCAGUAGGGAAUCUUCCACAAUGGACGAAAGUCUGAUGGAGCAACGCCGCGUGAACGAUGAAGGCCUUCGGGUCGUAAAGUUCUGUUGUAAGGGAAGAACAAGUGCCGCAGGCAAUGGCGGCACCUUGACGGUACCUUGCGAGAAAGCCACGGCUAACUACGUGCCAGCCGCCGCGGUAAUAC